UAGGAAGGUUGAGAACCACUGUUCUGUUAAUACUAAUAGGAAACUUGCAUUUUCUUAAAUACCUUCUUGAAAUUCCUUUCAUUUUUAUUUCUGAAGUGUAAGAUUUAGGUCAAGAUCAAUGUAUGGCUAAUUGCUUAUUAGGUAAUAAGAAUUUUGGGAAGGAGAAAUACCUGUUCAGAUGUUGUAAAUUUUCAUUCAAUAACUCAAACUAUGUUUGACAAAAACACUAGUCAGGUAUCGAAGAGGUAAAUAUCUCUAUUUUUUUUCUUUCUUAAAAUUAUACUACGAUUAUGUUUAUUAAGAACUUGAAUUAGGAAACACUCUAAUUUUGCUCUCCCUUAGAGUAUUAUCAAUCUCUAAAAGAGAUAUUUAAUUACUGAAAUUAUAGCAUCUUGUGAAAAAUGGUUAUUUUCUAAUUUUAUAAUGUAGUUAAUGCUAUCGCAAUGAAUUCAUGGCCCUUCUCAGAGUGUUCAUUGUUCCUGCUUGGUGUGGCUGGUCGAACACCUCUCAGGUGGUGAGGAGUGUGUGUUUAGAUGGUGUGUAGUGGAGAGAUCUUGACUGGUACAGAGUAACUUUAUAGCAGCCACUAUAAUGCUUAUCAGUGAAAUCCUACCUCACUUAAUUAUUACUUAAUUCUCUGAUUAUAUUUUUUGUGUCUGAGAGAAGAUGAUCACCUUCAUCCUGUUGAAGUGUGGAUGGACAGAUAUCGCUGUUUCAGUUUCUCAAUACAGCACACCUACGAAGGCAUUCUGAAGUAGAACACCUUUUUGAAGAGUAGUGCAUCAGUCUACCUACCAAAACGGAUGUAGUGAAAUGCUGACUGGGCUUGUGAUGAGAUAAGAGGCUUCUCAAUUCACCCCCUCCCAAGAAUAGAAGUUUCUUUGAAACCAAGCAUAAUGGAAUGGAAUGUUAAAAGACUGAAUGAUACAUUUUAAGUCAAACAGAAAUAUGGAUUAUCGGCUGUUUGGAUUUGUCCAUACUGGAGUUACUACCUCCUAUAUGGCUGCAUCCCCCUGUUUGCAUGGGGAAUUGAGAUUGGAUUUAAAAUGAAAAUAAUUCACAUCAGUCAA